AUAAGUUGCUCCCCAAGCAACCUAUUAUCCUCAUUUGAGUUGGUGAUCGGUCCCCUUUGCAAUUCAUCUUCCCCAACUGAGGUGUUCAUGUUUUGUGUUCCCCAGUUGUGACUUAACGAUUGAACCUUGGUUAUCUCAGAACCUUUAUUUGGUCUUCAGAUCCCCAUUUACAUUUGUGUUUCAUAAUCACAGCAGUUUCUUCCCUGGGCGAGUCAG
rnacentral:lncRNA from 1 species